AUCUGGGGCCAUACCACAGUCAGCUACCGCAUCCCGUCUGAU
rnacentral:rRNA from 1 species